GGAAGUUAUUACAACAAAAUCCCAGAAACAAAGUGGGUGGCUCAAAACAAUCAAGGUUAUUCUCUUGACAUUCUGGAGGGCAGAAAUUCAUAUCCAAGCUGUCAGCAAAGCAGUGCCCCUUCAGAAGCUCUGUAGAAUCCUUACCAGCCUCUCCGCCUUGUAGGUGUAGCUGGCUCGUUGUGUGCCUCAGCCUACAGCUGCUUCACUCCAGCCCCAGCCUCCCUCCUCCUCCUCACGUGGCAUUCUCUGUGUCCAUCUCCUCUUAGGUGCACACAAGUCAUCCGGAUGGAGGCCCACCCCAACACCCUAAUCUUACCUUGGCCAUGUCUACCAAGACCUAUUUCGCAUGGGUGCCACAGGUUAGGAUUUCAGCAUAUAUUUUUUUAAGGACACAAUUCAGCUUGUUCCAAUGACAAAGAAUCCUGACUUCUAGACCUAAAACAAACAGAUGAGCUGCAAAUAAGAACCACGCUACCUGAGCUCUAGGAGACAAAAGUGGCUGUGAAGCACCUAAUAAACUCAGAGCCAGCUGCCGUGACAGCUCUGCACAUUGACACUGCCACAGACUGGUGCAGGUAGUGGGCCCGGCAAUGGCCACAGCUCCCCUGCCACUCUUCCCUCUGCUCUAGCCUGUCACUUAGAAAACAGAAGAUGGCGACAGACCCUCACGUCUCCCCAGGGACCGGCAGGCACUGAGAGCUGUUUUCUCAUACAUCCUCCAGCGUGAGCCGCACGUUAACCUGUGUGCAGAGAGGCCCAGGACCGUCAUCCCAUCUCCCAGCGGUGCAGCUUCAUCGUCUGUCAGAUGGUCUCAGAUACAGAUUUAACCCUCAAAGAGUUCUGGAAGAUUCUGUGCGUGGAGCUAACUGAGAAAUCCUGGGCCAGCGUCUCUCUAAGCACACUGAAAUCCACCUGGGUACAGGACAGAGAUGCUGAAAGCUCUGCAGAGGAGCCUGAGCUACCUGAGUGAUGAAAUUUGUGAUGCUGGUUUAAGAAAUAGAAGAAUGAAAGAUAUGGGGACCAUGAAGAAUAUACAAAUGGAAGAGAGUGUAUGUAACCACAGACUCAGGAAAAGGAGGAAGGGAAUUACUGUGGAUUGGCAAAACUAUGGCAACACAAUUCUACUUUCUCUUCCUCAAACAAGGAAGGCACUUAUAAGAAGAGGACAUUGUAAAUGCCCCUUUUUCAAGCCAGAGAAGUAUCUACCAGAGCUCUCUCUCUCUCUACAUGUGAGGACACAGAGUGAAAAGGCAGAUGUCUACAAGCCAGAGAGUAGCCUCACCACUGACCAGAUCAGCUCACAUUUUGAUUUUGGACUUUCCAGCCUCCUUACUAUAAAAAAUAAAUACUGUUGUUUAAGCCACACUGUCAAUGUUAUUUUGUUAUAGCAGCUCAGAUCAACUAAUACACGCUUAUCAAUGGCUGGUACUUGCCAGAAUUGGAGAAGAAAUUUAAGUACACAGUACCUCAUCUUUAAAUUAAGAUCCUUUUUUGAGUGUGCACUGGUAGCUGCAUUUUAACAAACAUCCCCACACACACAUCACACAUGCCCUACAAAAAUGCAAACAGAUUUAAUUCUAAAUUACAAACUCACAAAUAUUAACCAAAGGUUUAUUCAUUCUCCCU
ensembl:lincRNA